rnacentral:rRNA from 1 species
CCUACGGGAGGCAGCAGUCGGGAAUCUUGCGCAAUGGGCGAAAGCCUGACGCAGCAACGCCGUGUGGGCGACGAAGGCCUUCGGGUCGUAAAGCCCUGUUGUUGGGGACGAAGGGCGAAGGGUUAAUAGCCCCUAGCUUGACGGUACCCUUCGAGGAAGCCCCGGCUAACUACGUGCCAGCAGCCGCGGUAAUACGUAGGGGGCGAGCGUUGUCCGGAAUUAUUGGGCGUAAAGAGCGUGUAGGCGGCUUGGUAAGUCUGCCGUGAAACCCCGGGGCUCAACCCCGGGCGUGCGGUGGAUACUGCCAGGCUAGAGGAUGGUAGAGGCGAGUGGAAUUCCCGGUGUAGCGGUGAAAUGCGCAGAUAUCGGGAGGAACACCAGUAGCGAAGGCGGCUCGCUGGGCCAUUCCUGACGCUGAGACGCGAAAGCUAGGGGAGCGAACAGGAUUACAUACCCUGGUAGUCCUAGCCGUAAACGAUGAACACUAGGUGUGGGGGGAGUCUAAUCCCUCCGUGCCGCAGCUAACGCGAUAAGUGUUCCGCCUGGGGAGUACGGCCGCAAGGCUAAAACUCAAAAGAAUUGACGGGGGCCCGCACAAGCAGCGGAGCAUGUUCUUUAAUUCGAUGCAACGCGAAGAACCUUACCUGGGCUUGACAUGGUGCUGCAAGCGCACGGAAACGUGUGACCUUCGAGGGUGCACCACAGAUGCUGCAUGGCUGUCGUCAGCUCGUGUCGUGAGAUGUUGGGUUAAGUCCGCAACGAGCGCAACCCCCGUGGCGUGUUGCCAGCAUUAAGUUGGGGACUUCACGACGGACUGCCGGAGACAACUCGGAGGAAAGUGGGGAUGAUGUCAGUCAUCUGGCUCUUCGCUCUGGCUAGAAACUUGCUACAUGGCGCAUUCAAAGGUCAUAAGACCCCAAGGUGGACCGAAUUCCAUCAAAUGCGUUUAAGUCCG